rnacentral:lncRNA from 1 species
GGGGUGUGAAGGUCCUCCACAAUCUUGGAUAGCAACUUCCUUGUAGCAUUGUUCGACUUCGCUUGCCAUGGUGCUACCUACAUAAAUGUACUUAGAAAUAGAAGGAUAACCAAUGUUAGCACGGUUUGGUGGUAAUCCCCUCACUUCUCUCCACAAAACCUCUCCUUUUUCUGCUCUCGAAUUACCACCUUGCACUCCCUUACUCCUCUC